AUACGUAGGUGGCAAGCGUUGUCCGGAUUUACUGGGCGUAAAGGGGGCGCAGGCGGGAAGCUAAGUUGGAUGUGAAAUACCGGGGCUCAACUCCGGAGCUGCAUCCGAAACUGGGUUUCUUGAGUGGAGUAGAGGGCGGAGGAAUUCCGGGUGGAGCGGUGAAAUGGGUAGAAAUUAGGAGGAACAUCAGAGGCGAAGGCGGCUUGCUGGGCUCUAACUGACGCUGAGGCCGGAAAGCGUGGGGAGCAAACAGGAUGAGAUCCCCUGGUAGUCCACGCCGUAAACGAUGAUGACUAGGUGUGGGGGGUCUGACCCCUUCCGUGCCGCAGUUAACGCAAUAAGUAAUCCACCUGGGGAGUACGGCCGCAAGGCUGAAACUCAAAUGAAUUGACGGGG
rnacentral:rRNA from 1 species